rnacentral:rRNA from 1 species
AGCGAACGCUGGCGGCAGGCCUAACACAUGCAAGUCGAACGAACUCUUCGGAGUUAGUGGCGGACGGGUGAGUAACACGUGGGAACGUGCCUUUAGGUUUGGAAUAACUCAGGGAAACUUGAGCUAAUACCGGAGGUGCCCUUCGGGGGAAAGAUUUAUCGCGUUUAGAGCGGCCCGCGUCCGAUUAGCUAGUUGGUGAGGUAAAGGCUCACCACGGCGACGAUCAGUAGCUGGGCUGAGAGGAUGAUCAGCCACAUUGGGACUGAGACACGGCCCGAACUCCUGCGGGAGGCAGCAGUGGGGAAUCUUGCGCAAUGGGCGAAAGCCUGACGCAGCCAUGCCGCGUGAAUGAUGAAGGUCUUAGGAUUGUAAAAUUCUUUCACCGGGGACGAUAAUGACGGUACCCGGAGAAGAAGCCCCGGCUAACUUCGUG